AGUGAACGCUGGCGGUAGGCCUAACACAUGCAAGUCGAACGGCAGCACAGUAAGAGCUUGCUCUUACGGGUGGCGAGUGGCGGACGGGUGAGGAAUACAUCGUAAUCUACUUUUUCGUGGGGGAUAACGUAGGGAAACUUACGCUAAUACCGCAUACGACCUACGGGUGAAAGCAGUGGAUCUUCGGACCUUGCGCGAUUGUAUGAGCCGAUGUCGGAUUAGCUAGUUGGCGGGGUAAAGGCCCACCAAGGCGACGAUCCGUAGCUGGUCUGAGAGGAUGAUCAGCCACACUGGAACUGAGACACGGACCAGACAACUACGGGAGGCAGCAGUGGGGAAUAUUGGACAAUGGGGGAAAGCAUGAUACAGCAAUACCGCGUGGGUGAAGAAGGACUUCGGGUUGUAAAGACCUUUUGUUGGGAAAGAAAAGCAGCAGGUUAAUACACAGAUGUUAUGACGGUACCAAAAGAAUAAGCACCGGCUAACUUCGUG
rnacentral:rRNA from 1 species